GAUGAACGCUGGCGGCGUGCCUAACACAUGCAAGUCGAGCGAUUUACUUCGGUAAAGAGCGGCGGACGGGUGAGUAACGCGUGGGUAACCUGCCCUGUACACACGGAUAACAUACCGAAAGGUAUGCUAAUACGAGAUAAUAUACUUUUAUCGCAUGGUAGAAGUAUCAAAGCUUUUGCGGUACAGGAUGGACCCGCGUCUGAUUAGCUAGUUGGUAAGGUAACGGCUUACCAAGGCGACGAUCAGUAGCCGACCUGAAAGGGUGAUCGGCCACAUUGGAACUGAGACACGGUCCAAACUCCUACGGGAGGCAGCAGUGGGGAAUAUUGCACAAUGGGCGAAAGCCUGAUGCAGCAACGCCGCGUGAGCGAUGAAGGCCUUCGGGUCGUAAAGCUCUGUCCUCAAGGAAGAUAAUGACGGUACUUGAGGAGGAAGCCCCGGCUAACUACGUGCCAGCAGCCGCCGUAA
rnacentral:rRNA from 1 species